GAUGAAGAACGUAGCGAAAUGCGAUAAGUAAUGUGAAUUGCAGAAUUCAGUGAAUCAUCGAAUCUUUGAACGCACCUUGCGCUCCUUGGUAUUCCUUGGAGCAUGCCUGUUUGAGUAUCAUGAAAUUCUCAAAGUAAAUCUUUUUGUUAAUUCAAUUAGGUUCACUUUGGAUUUGGAGGUUUUUUGCAGCUUUACACCUGCUCCUCUUUGUGCAUUAGCUGGAUCUCAGUGUUAUGCUUGGUUCCACUCGGCGUGAUAAGUUAUCUAUCGCUGAGGACACUUUUUUUUUGUUUUUUUUCUAAAAAUAAAUAAAUAACUAAGUGGCCAAGGGAAAUGCAGAUGAACCGCUUCCAAUAGUCCAUUAGCUUGGACAAAUAUAUUUUUAUGAUCUGAUCUCAAAUCAGGUAGGACUACCCGCUGAACUUAAGCAUAUCAAUAAGCGGAGGA
rnacentral:misc_RNA from 1 species